UUAAAAUUAAAAGUCAUAUUCUUUUUUUUGAGAAACAAAGCGGCACAAUCGAAGGGAGGCGGUUAGGUAAUGGAAGAGGAGAAAGCGGCGGCGUACUACGACGAGCUCACGCGCAAAGGCGAAGGAGCAGCUCGUUUCAAGCAAGGCCUCGGCUUCUCCUCUGGGAACGACGCCGUUCCGGAGAGAGCAUCAGCGAUCGCAUCCUCCUCUUCGUUUCUCAACCAGUUCGUGAAAGCUUCUUCCAACCCUAAACCCACCGAGAACGAUUCCGAUAUCCGAUCUAUUCGAGAUAAGUUGAAGAAGGAGAAGAAUAAACCUGAAGAUCAGCAGCAUUCCGAGAAGAGCUCGAGCGAUCGGCGUCGUUAUAGGAGUGGAGAGAGGGACGAGAGAGAUAGAAGGAGAAGCAGGAGUGCAGAGAGGCGUAGUGGGUAUGGGGACAGAGAGAGACGGAGGCGUAGGAGCCGGAGUAGGGAACGAAGGAGGAGCGAAGAUGAUAGAAGAGGAAGGAGGAGAGAAGAUGCUAACGAGAAGAAGAAGAAGAUUGAUUACUCGCGCUUAAUCAAAGGCUACGAUGAUAUGUCAGCUGCUGAAAAGGUGAAGGCCAAGAUGAAGCUUCAGCUUGAUGAAACUGCUGAGAAAGAUACCAGUAAGGGUGCAGGAUGGGAACGAUUUGAUUUUGACAAAGAUGCUCCACUUGAUGAUGAGGAAGUAGAAGAAGGUACGGAUGAUGACGCUGCCUUAGUGAAACGCAUGGGACAGAGCUUUAGGUUUAACGCCAUCGAGUCGAGAAGGGAAGAGCAACUUAAAGAUGCCCACGAUGAAGCCAUGUUUGGAGCACCCACAGGCCAAACUCUUAUUGGUAACAACGAGGAUGAUGUUACAGAGACAACUAAUGUGAAAGACAUUGAAGGAGAAAACAACAGUGGCGCCGUAAGUCUUGUUAGCGAAAAGGUACUUGCAAAACAGCAAGGAUCUUGGCGUGACCGAGCUCGCAAGUCAUGAAUCCCAGUUAGGGGUGUUCAAUCCGGAUAUCGGUUCGGUUUAGGUUCGGUUUUUUUCGGUUUUCGGUAUUUCGUGACUGGAUUAAGAUGUGAUUUUGGAGCUGACUGGGAUUAAGAGAUCUAAGGACGUUGUAGGCAAAAAAAACUGAGACAUACCCUUGCUUGCAGUCUCCGUACUGAGAAUAUCGUUUAAGAAGGGAAGCCAUGAAACAAAGCAUAUUACGGAUAUCAUAUUUAAUUGUUUAGCUAAGAAAACUAAAUAAUAUAAAUGGUGGUUGAUUGUUUUGUACAAUUUAUGGUUCUAAUUGGUAAUCAUGUUGAAGAAAAAAAAUUACCGCAGA